GCUUCUGUGGCUCAGUUGGCUAGAGCGUUGGUCUCAUACUUACUGUAUGAUCACAUCUGAUGUGAGUAAUCCAAAGGUCGCAAGUUCGAGCCUUGCCAGGAGCA